CCUACGGGCGGCAGCAGUGAGGAAUAUUGGUCAAUGGUCGGGAGACUGAACCAGCCAAGCCGCGUGAGGGAGGAAGGUACAGAGUAUCGUAAACCUCUUUUGUCAGGGAACAAAGACUGGGACGCGUCCCCGGAUGAGUGUACCUGAAGAAAAAGCAUCGGCUAACUCCGUGCCAGCAGCCGCGGUAAUACGGAGGAUCCGAGCGUUAUCCGGAUUUAUUGGGUUUAAAGGGAGCGUAGGUGGGUUGUUAAGUCAGGUGUGAAAGUUUGGGGCUCAACCGUAAAAUUGCAAUUGAUACUGGCAGCCUGGAGUACAGUAGAGGUAGGCGGAAUUCGUGGUGGAGCGGUGAAAUGCUUAGAUAUCACGAAGAACUCCGAUUGCGAAGGCAGCCUACUAGACUGCCACUGACAUUGAGGCUCGAAAGUGUGGGUAUCAAACAGGAUUAGAUACCCGAGUAGUC
rnacentral:rRNA from 1 species